GACGAACGCUGGCGGCGUGCUUAACACAUGCGAGUCGAACGAAGAGCGAUGGAAGCUUGCUUCUAUCAAUCUUAGUGGCGAACGGGUGAGUAACGCGUAAUCAACCUGCCCUUCAGAGGGGGACAACAGUUGGAAACGACUGCUAAUACCGCAUACGAUCUAAUCUCGGCAUCGAGGAAAGAUGAAAGGUGGCCUCUAUUUAUAAGCUAUCACUGAAGGAGGGGAUUGCGUCUGAUUAGCUAGUUGGAGGGGUAACGGCCCACCAAGGCGAUGAUCAGUAGCCGGUCUGAGAGGAUGAACGGCCACAUUGGGACUGAGACACGGCCCAGAGGCCUACGGGAGGCAGCAGUGGGGAAUCUUCCGCAAUGGACGAAAGUCUGACGGAGCAACGCCGCGUGAGUGAUGACGGCCUUCGGGUUGUAAAGCUCUGUUAAUCGGGACGAAAGGCCUUCUUGCGAACAGUUAGAAGGAUUGACGGUACCGGAAUAGAAAGCCACGGCUAACUACGUG
rnacentral:rRNA from 1 species